GCUGUAGAACCAAAUACUGUUUUGCUGUCUGAAGAGACCUCAGCAAAGGGACAGUAGUUAAAGAGGAACGAUUACAUUGUAAAAAGUCAUAAAACCUUCCAGGAUUAAAAAUCUCAGGAGGUUACACUGUGGCUAUGAGGAGAUUUUUGUAAAGCUUCAAUAUGGAGCCACACACGCAAGAAUGCCAGAAUGUGGACCCUCAUCUUGUUGGCAAUGGUUUUCCCAAGUACACUGGCUCCUGGUUAAUCCAGAGGUUUUAAAACAAAGCUUCAAGCCACAAGACUGCAAACAGAGAUGGCUCUUGUACAGAGUGAAAAAAAUUACCAGCCUCUAUAGAACAGCUCCAUGCUGACCUUCCUUGUGCUGUGUCCGUACCCAAUGCAAUCAAUGCACAGUCACUGCCGGGUACCUGAUACCAUUGCCUGUAAAGGGAAUGGGAAAGAGAAAGGAAGAAGUGUCAGCCAGAGUCAGAAACAGCUCUGUCUCUUCUGAGAAGUGAUUCAGGACUUCAGGGCAGGACUGUGAGACACAGCUGAAGUCCCAGUCUAAGCGCUAACGCUAGCUUGUGAGCUGCUUGCUGUCUUGAAUCUCUGGUCACUGCUCAGUUCCAGUGGGCUGAGGGUGGAAGUGGAAAUGCCUGCAGCCUGCAACUGCAGCUUGUAAUCCUGGCCUGGAGGAGCUUAGCUGCUGCUGAUUGAAGAUCACGUGCAAGCAGAUAAGCCAGAAGAGGAUCACACAUUCACAAAGCCUGAGAAAUCCUGCUCUAAUCCAUCAGGGCUCCAAGAUGUAAAGCUGAGUGUAGCGGUUUGCUCUUCAACAUAAAAUUCCAAUUCCCUUUUGUUUUGCCUGGUGUUCUCCUUCGUGGAUUCCUCCACACUCCUCAGCACACCAAGGGUCAGGACUUUGGUGCUCCUUGGCACUUAUCUUAGCCUAGAAGAAUACAGAGGGUCCUUACCACAUGCCUAGGGGAGUCCUCGUAAGGCAGCUAGGGAAGAAAGAAAUUCCCUGCUCUGGUGAUAAGAAAUGCCUCCUUCUGUGCAACGUUCUGAUCUUCUUCAUCCUUACCAGCGUCAGGUUGUUCCAUUCCCCUCGUUGUGGAUGAUCAGCUUGUAGCUCAAAAAUCAGAGCUGCCAUUUCAGAGCCCUUUAAAAGCUCAUCCUUUCGUUUUCCCUCAUUCUGCAGCUAGGCCAAGACAACAGCUUGUUACUGUUUAAAUGAGCCCAUCCAUAUUUUUCCAUGAAAUUCUCAGUCAUUUAAGCCUGGUGUCUGGUCACUGUAAUGUUAUUAUCUGCUCUCUAUUUCAAGGCUUUGCUUUUAAACUUAACUAGAGUGUAAUACCAUUAUAUGGUCAGAGGCUCCCAAUGGAGAGAGAA
ensembl:lncRNA